rnacentral:rRNA from 1 species
AAUAGAUACCCUGGUAGUCCACGCCGUAAACGAUGAGUGCUAAGUGUUAGAGGGUUUCCGCCCUUUAGUGCUGCAGCUAACGCAUUAAGCACUCCGCCUGGGGAGUACGGUCGCAAGACUGAAACUCAAAGGAAUUGACGGGGGCCCGCACAAGCGGUGGAGCAUGUGGUUUAAUUCGAAGCAACGCGAAGAACCUUACCAGGUCUUGACAUCCUCUGACAACUCUAGAGAUAGAGCGUUCCCCUUCGGGGGACAGAGUGACAGGUGGUGCAUGGUUGUCGUCAGCUCGUGUCGUGAGAUGUUGGGUUAAGUCCCGCAACGAGCGCAACCCUUGAUCUUAGUUGCCAGCAUUUAGUUGGGCACUCUAAGGUGACUGCCGGUGACAAACCGGAGGAAGGUGGGGAUGACGUCAAAUCAUCAUGCCCCUUAUGACCUGGGCUACACACGUGCUACAAUGGAUGGUACAAAGGGCUGCAAGACCGCGAGGUCAAGCCAAUCCCAUAAAACCAUUCUCAAGUUCGGAUUGUAGG